rfam:Thiobacillus sp. SCN 64-317 ABT22_C0107, whole genome shotgun sequence.
GGGGCCGACCUGGCUUCGACGUGGGUCGCAAAGCAGCGUAGGGCAUACCGAGGGUCAGAGCACCUCGUAAAUCCAACUGAAAAACUUUAGUCGCAAACGACGAAAACUACGCCCUGGCCGCUUAAGGUCCAGGACUCACACCAGCCUGUUCAUGGACUGGGUCGGGGCAACCCGGCAGUGAGUUAAUUCACAUGAAAUCGUGCUUGUCCGGGUCGCUUGGGCAGGUGCCAAAUCCAAGGCGACUCGGCGAGAUCCAGCCUGUUCGGCGGGCGUGAUGGAGCUUAAAGCUUGAAAACACCGGACUAAGUAUGUAGAACUGCCUGUAGAGGGCUUGCGGACGCGGGUUCGAUUCCCGCCGGCUCCACCA